AUGAACGCUGGCGGCGCGCCUAACACAUGCAAGUCGAACGGCACCCCUCUCCGGAGGGAAGCGAGUGGCGAACGGCUGAGUAACACGUGGAGAACCUGCCCCCUCCCCCGGGAUAGCCGCCCGAAAGGACGGGUAAUACCGGAUACCCCCGGGCGCCGCAUGGCGCCCGGGCUAAAGCCCCGACGGGAGGGGAUGGCUCCGCGGCCCAUCAGGUAGACGGCGGGGUGACGGCCCACCGUGCCGACAACGGGUAGCCGGGUUGAGAGACCGACCGGCCAGAUUGGGACUGAGACACGGCCCAGACUCCUACGGGAGGCAGCAGUGGGGAAUCUUGCGCAAUGGGGGGAACCCUGACGCAGCGACGCCGCGUGCGGGACGGAGGCCUUCGGGUCGUAAACCGCUUUCAGCAGGGAAGAGUCAAGACUGUACCUGCAGAAGAAGCCCCGGCUAACUACGUGCCAGCAGCCGCGGUAAUACGUAGGGGGCGAGCGUUAUCCGGAUUCAUUGGGCGUAAAGCGCGCGUAGGCGGCCCGGCAGGCCGGGGGUCGAAGCGGGGGGCUCAACCCCCCGAAGCCCCCGGAACCUCCGCGGCUUGGGUCCGGUAGGGGAGGGUGGAACACCCGGUGUAGCGGUGGAAUGCGCAGAUAUCGGGUGGAACACCGGUGGCGAAGGCGGCCCUCUGGGCCGAGACCGACGCUGAGGCGCGAAAGCUGGGGGAGCGAACAGGAUUAGAUACCCUGGUAGUCCCAGCCGUAAACGAUGGACGCUAGGUGUGGGGGGGACGAUCCCCCCGUGCCGCAGCCAACGCAUUAAGCGUCCCGCCUGGGGAGUACGGCCGCAAGGCUAAAACUCAAAGGAAUUGACGGGGGCCCGCACAAGCAGCGGAGCAUGUGGCUUAAUUCGAAGCAACGCGAAGAACCUUACCAGGGCUUGACAUAUGGGUGAAGCGGGGGAGACCCCGUGGCCGAGAGGAGCCCAUACAGGUGGUGCAUGGCUGUCGUCAGCUCGUGUCGUGAGAUGUUGGGUUAAGUCCCGCAACGAGCGCAACCCCCGCCGCGUGUUGCCAUCGGGUGAUGCCGGGAACCCACGCGGGACCGCCGCCGUCAAGGCGGAGGAGGGCGGGGACGACGUCAAGUCAUCAUGCCCCUUAUGCCCUGGGCUGCACACGUGCUACAAUGGCCGGUACAGAGGGAUGCCACCCCGCGAGGGGGAGCGGAUCCCGGAAAGCCGGCCCCAGUUCGGAUUGGGGGCUGCAACCCGCCCCCAUGAAGUCGGAGUUGCUAGUAAUCGCGGAUCAGCAUGCCGCGGUGAAUGCGUUCCCGGGCCUUGUACACACCGCCCGUCACACCACCCGAGUCGUCUGCACCCGAAGUCGCCGGCCCAACCGCAAGGGGGGAGGCGCCGAAGGUGUGGAGGGUGAGGGGGGUG
rnacentral:rRNA from 1 species